rnacentral:tRNA from 2 species
GGCAAGGUGGCCGAGCGGUCCAAGGCGCCACGUUAAGGACUUCAUCCUUAAAACACACUCGUCAAGAGUUCCGUGGUCUCGAAAGGGGCGUGAGUUCGAAUCUCACCCUUGUCA